UACAGAGGCCUCGAGCGUUAGGCGGAAUCACUGGGCUUAAAGCGUGUGUAGGUGGAUGCCUAAGUACCUUGUGAAAUCCCACGGCUUAACCGUGGAACUGCUGGGUAUACUGGGCGUCUUGAGCCACUCAGGGGCUACCGGAACAAACGGUGGAGCGGUGAAAUGCGUAGAUAUCAGGAGGAACACCAAUUGCGAAGGCAGCUCGCUGGGACGUUACUGACGCUGAGACGCGAAAGCGUGGGGAGCAAACAGG
rnacentral:rRNA from 1 species